UUGAAGAAAAAAGUAAAAUUCGUGUUCGCAUUAAGCAUUAUUUAUUGUGGAAAACACCACCACUGAAACCAAGGAAAAGCUUGAUAAGUACAAUGGGAUCUAUUCUCCAUCGAUUUCAAUGGGCAGAGCGAGAUAGAACGGCUGGUGUUGGUGUAAGAGGGAGAGAGACAUGUGUAGCGGAAUAACAACAGUUGUGAAAUGG